ACGAGAACGGAUUAUAGCUUGCUAUAAUUGUCAGCUAAGUGGCGCACGGGUGAGUAAUAUAUAGAUAACCUGCCCUCAAGAAAGGAAUAACAGUUGGAAACGACUGCUAAUGCCCUAUAUGCCUUUAAUACAUAAGUAUGCAAGGGAAACGCUUUAGUGCUUGAGGAUGGGUCUGUAUGGUAUCAGCUUGUUGGUGAGGUAAUGGCUCACCAAGGCUAUGACGCCUAACUGGUUUGAGAGGAUGAUCAGUCACACUGGAACUGAGACACGGUCCAGACUCCUACGGGAGGCAGCAGUGGGGAAUAUUGCACAAUGGACGAAAGUCUGAUGCAGCAACGCCGCGUGGAGGAUGACACAUUUCGGUGCGUAAACUCCUUUUAUAUGGGAAGAUAAUGACGGUACCAUAUGAAUAAGCACCGGCUAACUCCGUGCCAGCAGCCGCGGUAAUACGGAGGGUGCAAGCGUUACUCGGAAUCACUGGGCGUAAAGAGCGUGUAGGCGGAUAUAUAAGUCAGAAGUGAAAUCCAAUAGCUUAACUAUUGAACUGCUUUUGAAACUGUAUAUCUAGAAUGUGGGAGAGGUAGAUGGAAUUUCUGGUGUAGGGGUAAAAUCCGUAGAGAUCAGAAGGAAUACCGAUUGCGAAGGCGAUCUACUGGAACAUUAUUGACGCUGAGACGCGAAAGCGUGGGGAGCAAACAGGAUU
rnacentral:rRNA from 1 species